AUAAUAAUCCAUUCCAAAAUCAAUCGACCCUGAGAGUUGUACAUUGUAUAAAAUUUUACGGAAUAGAAAGUUCUCAAUCUCAAGUUAAAAAUGUGUUUGUGUGAAUCGUGUGAUUGCUUAGACAACUGGUGUUGUUCACUGAAGCGAAAAGUUUGGGCUUUUGCUAUUUGGACUAUCAUUUUUGGAAUUUUAGUUUUGAUUUCAAGUGUAGUGCAGUUUAUACAUUUCGAUAAUCUCGAUGCUACUGAGUACAAAGAUGAUGAAUAUUAUAAAUUAACUUAUGCAUUAAAUUUUAACGGUCAUAUUUUAAUGAUUGUUCUGGCGUGCAUUACUGUGCUUGCUGGACUUCUAAUGCUAUACAGUAUUAAAGCAUCCAUUGCACCACUGUACAUGGCGACCAUAGUUGUUGGCUCAAUAUGUCCUUUCGGUUAUACUCCUUUAGUGAUAGUGCCAAUUGUGCAAGUUUUAUUCAUAAUCAUUGGAUGUAGAUACUAUUCAACUGUAUUAAAGUGAUAAUAUACAGAUCAUGAAUAUUACAAAAUUUCAAGUAAUUGUCUCGAUAUCGAAAUAAAAUUUUCGGAAACCAAUAAAUCUGGAAUCGAAAUCUUAAAUUUAACAUGUGUAACUGUGAAUCGUGUUUAUGGAUUGACGACUGGUGUGGUACACUCAAAAAGAAAGUUUGGGCUUUCGCUGUCUUUAUGCUAAUAAGUGGCAUUCUAACAUUGAUUUUUGUAAUAUGGCUUUAUAUACAUUUCAAUGUGCAGGACUCAUCAAAAGUAAAACAUAUCUAUAUGUGGAUUUGCAUGGCCUUGAUUGUCCUUCAACUUCUUGAUGGACUAUUAAUUUUAUACAGCAUUAAUGCAUCCUUGGUUUUCGGUUCAAUAGACGGCAACAAAAGAUUUUUAACUUUAACAUUAAUAUUAACAUUAACAAUAUUCACAUUGGUAUUGUUAACAUUAACAUUGGAAAACGCUCGUCAGCCAAGGAGCGACGAGUUGAGAUCAUCACCAGUAACCACGAAGUAGACGUUGAGGUCAUACCAGAAAAGUACCAACAAAUGGAGCGAAUGGUUCGACGAUCCAAUCGCUUAAGAAGUGCCAAGCGCAAACAUUAAAGACAAAUUUCGAUGACACAAUAAUCCUGUUAAACACAUUCGAAUCAAUUUAAUAACAACGCCUGUAAAUAAAGAAAGUUACUAUCA